GACGAACGCUGGCGGCGUGCUUAACACAUGCAAGUCGAGCGGUAAGGCCCUUUCGGGGGUACACGAGCGGCGAACGGGUGAGUAACACGUGGGUGACCUGCCCUCAGCUCUGGGAUAAGGCCUGGGAAACCGGGUCUAAUACUGGAUAUGACUCCAUGACGCAUGUUGUGGGGUGGAAAGCCUUGUGCGGCUGAGGAUGGGCCCGCGGCCUAUCAGCUUGUUGGUGGGGUNANGGCCUACCAAGGCGACGACGGGUAGCCGGCCUGAGAGGGCGACCGGCCACACUGGGACUGAGACACGGCCCAGACUCCUACGGGNGGCAGCAGUGGGGAAUCUUGCGCAAUGGGCGAAAGCCUGACGCAGCGACGCCGCGUGAGGGA
rnacentral:rRNA from 1 species